AUCGCAUGUGCCCUGUUGUGACUAUCAGCCUGACAGACACUGAACUAGGAGGUAGAGUCCUGGAGAGGUGUUUAUUUUGAUAUAAAAAAGCUCCUAUACAAUGCUGUACAAGGAAUAACCCAGAGCUGAGGCAGGUACUUGGGGUGAAAAACAACUGACACACAGAUGAUGAUAGUCCAGGAGUGUAUACAGUAAGGACCAAAGAGGGGCACCAGAAAACGCCACCACAGUUACUCAGGAACUCAGGAAGCAUUUCGACAGAGUUGAUUCUCAAUAAAUAUUUGAAAGAGAGGAAUGGAAGGAAGUGGAGCCUUUUAGGGGCAAGGAAGAUGAGUCUGAGAUGCCUAUGUACAUGGUGAGGUCUCUAAGUAAAUAAAACACAUCGAUUCAUGUCCUUCCUGUGCUUUAAGCUCUUCAGAGACUUUUCAUCACACUUAGGAUUUUGUUCUAAUUUCUUCAGGUAGCCUACAGACCCCAUGCAUUGUGGCUCUAAUUACCUUUUCAAUUUUAUGUUGGGUCAUGCUCCCUCUCCCUUACUUUGGCCCAAUAUUUCAGAGCCUGAACCUUCCCAUUUUUUCCCAUUUGGGGGCAUUUGCACAGCUAUUCCAUCUCUUUAUAAUGUCGAAUCCAUCAUGCCAACCCUUUACUGUAGCUGGAUUCUUUGAGUCAGCUGAAAUGUUACCUCCAUGGAGAGCCCUUUUCUGACCAUUCUGUGCAAGUAAGUCUCCUUCCCCUUGCAUCCUUCUCCUUCUCCAAAUUCUGCAUGUUAUCUUCACAGACUAAAAGCUUCAUGACGACGGGAAAUCUGUAUUAACAAAGCACCUAGGACCUCAGAUAUAAUAAAUAUUUGUUUCAUGAGUAUAUAAAUGGGAUUCAAGAGAUAGUUUGAAACAGAGAGCACUGGAAAUAUAGGGAAGUUUGUACUUUGGCUUGAAUUUAUUUGUACUCAUAUUUUAAAUUAGCACCAAUAAGCCAGAAAAUAAGAAAUCUCUUCAACUAUAUUUACUCACAUAAAUAUAGGUGGAUCACUGAUCUUUGAAAGUCGCCAAGGUAACAAUAAUGGCAUAAUGCAUCUUUACAAAUCGACAAUAGCGUAUCCCUUGCCCCAAAGUCCCAGUAAUUAAUGACUCUUCUGCUUCCACACUGUAGCUUCUUAACCCUGUCAGCUAGUCUGCCUUUGUGCAUCCAAAGGCCCAGUGACAUUUGUAGGAAGAAGAAUAGCAGGUUGGCUCAGGCAUAAUACAAUUGUCUGACUCUGACACUUAUUUGUGACACUUAUUCCUUGGGUUGACCCAUUAGCAGAUCUCAUCUGUGAAUGGUGAAAGUGAUACUUCCCUUGAAGGACUAUUGAUAAUUCCAGCAAAGCGCCUAGCAAAGGAAGGGCAUAGCUCUGUAAUUUCAGGUUUCCCAGCCAUUCAGUCACUUCAUUGGUAAUAUGGGUUUAGAAUUCUUGCUCAAAAGUCAUUCUCUCUUGGAACCUUGAAGUUGUUAUUUCAUUGUUUUCUUUAGGAACCAAUGUUGUUGAAGAAAAAAUACCAGUGACAAAUCUGAGAGUUACUGCCAUGUAUGUGGCCUGUGUUUUCUUCCAGAAAACUUUAAUGAUCUUUUUUGUGUUCUUGGGGUGUUCACAAUUAUGUAGCUGUGGGUCUUUUUUUAAAUAAUUAAGAUAAAUAUCCAAUAGGGUCCUUUUAAUCUUGAAGACACCUUUAUUUUAGUUGGGGAAUAUUCUCUUCAAGUAUUUAAAAUAUUUUAUGUCCUUUCUAUCUUUCCUAACUCUCUCUUUCUGAUAAUUCUAUUAGUUGGAUGUUGAGUUUCAGAGAAUAAUUCCCUAAUUUUAUGAUCUGUGACAUUUACUGUAAUUUACCUUUUUGUCCUACUUUUUAAGAGUUUGCCUCGACUACAUAUUUUAACCUUCUAAUAAUUUUUUAAAAUUUUGCCGUAUGUU